AGUGGAGAUGGGGUUUCAUCAUGUUGGCCAAGAUGAUCUUGCUCUCUUGACCUCGUGAUCUGCCUGCCUCAGCCUCCCAAAGUGCUGGGAUUACAGGCGUGAGCCACCGUGCCCGGCCUAUAUUUUUAAUUUUAAUAGAUGUUGCCAGGUUGUAGAUAUUGACAAACUGAUCCUAAAAUUGAUACAGAAAGACAAAGACUGAGAAUAGCCUACAAAAUAUCAAAGAAGAACCAAGUUGGAGGACUGUCACUACCCAAUAUCAAGACGUUCUGGAAAUCUGCAAUAACCAAGACAGUAUUGGCAAAAGAAGACACACAGAUCAACAGAACAGAAAGUCCAGAAAUAAAUCCACACCAAUAUAAUCAAUUGAUCUUUGACAAAAGCUCACAGGCAAUUCAACGGAGAAAGGACAGUCUUUUUGCUGUCUAUGCAAUCAAUGUGUUCCCUGCCCAAUGCACAUACAGGCCAAUACAUGGCACCAGCUUUUCAGAAAAUAAAAGCUUUAUUGCAAGUCGACUGCACGGAGACAGGAAGAAACAUUCAAAU
rnacentral:lncRNA from 1 species